ACAGGGAUUACCUCAGUAACGGCGAGUGAAGCGGUAACAGCUCAAAUUUGAAAUCUGGCUCUUUCAGGGUCCGAGUUGUAAUUUGUAGAAGAUGCUUUGGGCGUGGCUCCGGUCUAAGUUCCUUGGAACAGGACGUCAUAGAGGGUGAGAAUCCCGUACGUGACUGGUUGCCUUCGUCCGUGUAAAGCUCUUUCGACGAGUCGAGUUGUUUGGGAAUGCAGCUCAAAAUGGGUGGUAAAUUUCAUCUAAAGCUAAAUAUUGGCCAGAGACCGAUAGCGCACAAGUAGAGUGAUCGAAAGAUGAAAAGCACUUUGGAAAGAGAGUUAAACAGUACGUGAAAUUGUUGAAAGGGAAGCGCUUGCAACCAGACUUGCACGUAGUUGAUCAUCCGGGGUUCUCCCCGGUGCACUCGAUUGCGUUCAGGCCAGCAUCGGUUUGGGUGGUUGGAUAAAGGCCUUGGGAAUGUGGCUCCUCUCGGGGAGUGUUAUAGCCCUCGGUGCAAUGCAGCCUAUCCGGACCGAGGACCGCGCUUCGGCUAGGAUGCUGGCGUAAUGGUUGUAAGCGACCCGUCUUGAAACACGGACCAAGGAGUCUAACAUCUAUGCGAGUGUUUGGGUGUCAAACCCAUACGCGUAAUGAAAGUGAACGGAGGUGAGAACGCUUAAGCGUGCAUCAUCGACCGAUCCUGAUGUCUUCGGAUGGAUUUGAGUAAGAGCAUAGCUGUUGGGACCCGAAAGAUGGUGAACUAUGCCUGAAUAGGGUGAAGCCAGAGGAAACUCUGGUGGAGGCUCGCAGCGGUUCUGACGUGCAAAUCGAUCGUCAAAUUUGGGU
rnacentral:rRNA from 1 species